AAUGAUGAAAUUGGCUUUUUUUCGUUUCUUUUUUUACUUUAGCGCCUGAAAUUAGGGGGCUUUGCGCGUAAGAAAAGAAACGAAAAACAGCGCUUGAGCCUCCGGUCUGGAGGCUUUUUUAUU
rfam:Xenorhabdus innexi strain HGB1681 (deposited as PTA-6826 in the American Type Culture Collection) genome assembly, scaffold: XIS1_scaffold1